rnacentral:lncRNA from 1 species
UGCGUGUCUUACUGGCUGUGACUCAAAACCUAGUGUGCUGCCCACUCAGACAGCAUUUUUGGGCAUUAUAGUCUUUAAAAACUAGUGUUCUGCCUUGGUUCGGGCUUUCUGAACGUGCCCGUGAUGGCCAAAAUUCUGUCUAGAUGAGCAGCUCGCUUGGUUUCGGACAUUCAGUGCCCCUUCUCGAAGUGUCAACCUCUUGUAUCUAAUAGCUGACUCAUCGUUGUUUUCAGCCUUAAUUCCUCAGUUACCCUUUACACUAAUUCCUGGAGUGGUUGUGACCCAGUUCCACCCCUCUUCCCGCUUCACUGCAGGCCUUCCUGAGUCCUGAGCACCAGCAGCUGCGUCCUGCCCCGACUUCCUGUCCUUGGUCGUACAAGGCUAAGCUCGUCAACUCCCCUACCCCCCCACAUACACAAACACACACACAAUCAUCUUCCUGGCACACUGCGGGCCGAGAGCGCUUCAGAUCCCACU